rnacentral:rRNA from 1 species
UACGUAAGUGGCGAGCGUUGUGCGGAGUUACUGGGUGUAAAGGGCGUGUAGGCGGGUAUGGAAGUUGGAAGUGGAAUACCACGGCUCAACUGUGGCGCUGCAUUUAAAACUGCAUAUCGUGAGUGCUGGAGAGGAAAGCGGAAUUCCCAGUGUAGGGGUGAAAUGCGUAGAUAUUGGGAGGAACUCCAGGGGCGAAGGCGGCUUUCUGGACGGUAACUGACGCUGAGGCGCCAGAGCGUGGGGAUCAAACACG